rnacentral:rRNA from 1 species
AACCGAAUAGGGGAGCCGGAGGGAAACCGAGUCUUAACCGGGCGUUAAGUUGCAGGGUAUAGACCCGAAACCCGGUGAUCUAGCCAUGGGCAGGUUGAAGGUUGGGUAACACUAACUGGAGGACCGAACCGACUAAUGUUGAAAAAUUAGCGGAUGACCUGUGGCUGGGGGUGAAAGGCCAAUCAAACCGGGAGAUAGCUGGUUCUCCCCGAAAGCUAUUUAGGUAGCGCCUCGUGAAUUCAUCUCCGGGGGUAGAGCACUGUUUCGGCUAGGGGGCCAUCCCGGCUUACCAACCCGAUGCAAACUGCGAAUACCGGAGAAUGUUAUCACGGGAGACACACGGCGGGUGCUAACGUCCGUCGUGAAGAGGGAAACAACCCAGACCGCCAGCUAAGGUCCCAAAGUCAUGGUUAAGUGGGAAACGAUGUGGGAAGGCCCAGACAGCCAGGAUGUUGGCUUAGAAGCAGCCAUCAUUUAAAGAAAGCGUAAUAGCUCACUGGUCGAGUCGGCCUGCGCGGAAGAUGUAACGGGGCUAAACCAUGCACCGAAGCUGCGGCAGCGACACUGUGUGUUGUUGGGUAGGGGAGCGUUCUGUAAGCCUGUGAAGGUGU